rnacentral:misc_RNA from 1 species
AGAGGAGACGCCCUGAUGUGA